GACGAACGCUGGCGGCACGCCUAACACAUGCAAGUCGAACGGACUUAGGAGAGCUUGCUCAAAUAAGUUAGUGGCGGACGGGUGAGUAACACGUGAGCAACCUGCCUCUAAGAGGGGAAUAGCUUCUAGAAAUGGAUGGUAAUACCUCAUAAAAUAUUUUAAUGGCAUCAUUGAAAUAUCAAAGAUUUAUCGCUUAGAGAUGGGCUCGCGUCUGAUUAGCUAGAUGGUAAGGUAACGGCUUACCAUGGCGACGAUCAGUAGCCGGACUGAGAGGUUGAACGGCCACAUUGGGACUGAGACACGGCCCAGACUCCUACGGGAGGCAGCAGUGGGGAAUAUUGCACAAUGGGCGAAAGCCUGAUGCAGCGAUGCCGCGUGAGGGAAGAAGGUCUUCGGAUUGUAAACCUCUGUUUUCAGGGACGAUAAUGACGGUACCUGAGGAGGAAGCUCCGGCUAACUACGUG
rnacentral:rRNA from 1 species